GUCCCUUGACCCUUCUUAGUACACGCCUGAAUUUUUGGAAAUGCAGCCUGAGUGGGGGGCAGGCAGAGGAUAAAAGACGGCUGGAGCCAGAGCCAGAGCCACGGGGCAGGGCGGCACAGGGCACGAGGAAGAGCCACCACAGAGCCACCACAGAGACACCAUGCUCCCUGCAAGGACUGUCCUGCUGCUCACCCUGCUCCUCACCCUCUCCCUGCACCACGCCACAGCCCACUUUGCACCGGUGGAAUGCUGCUUUAAGUAUGCACAGAAACGCAUCCGGCACCCUCAAAGCUUCUACGAGACAUCCAAAGACUGCCCCAAACGUGCAGUUGUAAUUGUGGCUGCUAAUGGUGAUCAGAUCUGUGCUGACCCCGAGAAGGACUGGGUGAAUAAAACAAUAAAACGGCUUCAAAAGCAAAAAUUAAACCCAUCCACCAUCUGACUUGCCCAUCCAGUCUUCCUGUCUCUCAAGGGAGCCAAAGUGCUGGCAGCUCCUCUCCAGCAGCUGCUGUGGCCGUGGGCACUGUCCCUGCAGGCAGAGCCCCCCUGGACCCCGGCAGGACCAGGUGUCACCGUGCCAUGGACCUGCCAGAGCCCGAGCUGCUCCUGCUGCCCCGCCAAGAUGUGCUUGUGAAACAAAUAUUUAUAAUAAAGACCCAUUGCCAC
rnacentral:lncRNA from 1 species